rnacentral:rRNA from 1 species
UAGGGAAUCUUCCACAAUGGACGCAAGUCUGAUGGAGCAACGCCGCGUGAGUGAAGAAGGUUUUCGGAUCGUAAAGCUCUGUUGUUGGUGAAGAAGGAUAGAGGCAGUAACUGGUCUUUAUUUGACGGUAAUCAACCAGAAAGUCACGGCUAACUACGUGCCAGCAGCCGCGGUAAUACGUAGGUGGCAAGCGUUGUCCGGAUUUAUUGGGCGUAAAGCGAGCGCAGGCGGAAUGAUAAGUCUGAUGUGAAAGCCCACGGCUCAACCGUGGAAGUGCAUCGGAAACUGUCAUUCUGGAGUGCAGAAGAGGAGAGUGGAAUUCCAUGUGUAGCGGUGGAAUGCGUAGAUAUAUGGAAGAACACCAGUGGCGAAGGCGGCUCUCUGGUCUGCAACUGACGCUGAGGCUCGAAAGCAUGGGUAGCGAACAGG